rnacentral:rRNA from 1 species
UACGUAGGUCCCGAGCGUCGUCCGGAUUUAUUGGGCGUAAAGCGAGCGCAGGUGGUUUAUUAAGUCUGGUGUAAAAGGCAGUGGCUCAACCAUUGUAUGCAUUGGAAACUGGUAGACUUGGGUGCAGGAGAGGAGAGUGGAAUUCCAUGUGUAGCGGUGAAAUGCGUAGAUAUUAGGAGGAACACCAGUGGCGAAGGCGGCUUACUGGACUGUAACUGACGUUGAGGCUCGAAAGCGUGGGGAGCAAACAGG